CCUACGGGCGGCAGCAGUAGGGAAUCUUUCACAAUGGGCGAAAGCCUGAUGGAGCAACGCCGCGUGCAGGAUGAAGGCCUUCGGGUUGUAAACUGCUUUUAUAAGCGAGAAAUAUGAUGGUAACUUAUGAAUAAGGAUCGGCUAACUACGUGCCAGCAGCCGCGGUCAUACGUAGGAUCCGAGCAUUAUCCGGAGUGACUGGGUGUAAAGAGUUGCGUAGGUGGCAUAAUAAGUAGCUAGGGAAAUCUGGUGGCUCAACCAUUCAGACUAUUAGCUAAACUGUUAAGCUCGAGACCGUUAGGGGUAACUGGAAUUUCUAGUGUAGGAGUGAAAUCCGUAGAUAUUAGAAGGAACACCAAUAGCGUAGGCAGGUUGCUGGGACGGUUCUGACACUAAGGCACGAAAGCGUAGGGAGCAAACGGGAUUAGAUACCCGUGUAGUC
rnacentral:rRNA from 1 species